rnacentral:rRNA from 1 species
GACGAACGCUGGCGGCGUGCUUAACACAUGCAAGUCGAACGGAAAGGCCCUGCUUUUGUGGGGUGCUCGAGUGGCGAACGGGUGAGUAACACGUGAGUAACCUGCCCUUGACUUUGGGAUAACUUCAGGAAACUGGGGCUAAUACCGGAUAGGAGCUCCUGCUGCAUGGUGGGGGUUGGAAAGUUUCGGCGGUUGGGGGUGGACUCGCGGCUUAUCAGCUUGUUGGUGGGGUAGUGGCUUACCAAGGCUUUGACGGGUAGCCGGCCUGAGGGGGUGACCGGCCGCAUUGGGACUGAGAUACGGCCCAGACUCCUACGGGUGGCAGCAGUGGGGAAUCUUGCACCAUGGGCGGCAGCCUGAUGCAGCAGCGCCUCGGGCGGGAUGACGGCCUUCGGGUUGUAAACCGCUUUCGCCUGUGACGAAGCGUGAGUGACGGUCAUGGGUAAAGAAGCACCGGCUAACUUCGUGC